GUCCUCGUAGCUCAGAUGGAUAGAGCGGCUGCCUCCUAAGCAGCAGGCCGCGCGUUCGAAUCGCGCCGGGGGCA
rnacentral:tRNA from 1 species